rnacentral:rRNA from 1 species
GUUAAGCGACUAAGCGUACACGGUGGAUGCCCUGGCAGUCAGAGGCGAUGAAGGACGUGCUAAUCUGCGAUAAGCGUCGGUAAGGUGAUAUGAACCGUUAUAACCGGCGAUUUCCGAAUGGGGAAACCCAGUGUGUUUCGACACACUAUCAUUAACUGAAUCCAUAGGUUAAUGAGGCGAACCGGGGGAACUGAAACAUCUAAGUACCCCGAGGAAAAGAAAUCAACCGAGAUUCCCCCAGUAGCGGCGAGCGAACGGGGAGCAGCCCAGAGCCUGAAUCAGUGUGUGUGUUAGUGGAAGCGUCUGGAAAGGCGCGCGAUACAGGGUGACAGCCCCGUACACAAAAAUGCACAUGCUGUGAGCUCGAUGAGUAGGGCGGGACACGUGGUAUCCUGUCUGAAUAUGGGGGGACCAUCCUCCAAGGCUAAAUACUCCUGACUGACCGAUAGUGAACCAGUACCGUGAGGGAAAGGCGAAAAGAACCCCGGCGAGGGGAGUGAAAAAGAACCUGAAACCGUGUACGUACAAGCAGUGGGAGCACGCUUAGGCGUGUGACUGCGUACCUUUUGUAUAAUGGGUCAGCGACUUAUAUUCUGUAGCAAGGUUAACCGAAUA